rnacentral:tRNA from 1 species
AAAAUAAAAGGUCAGUGACCAUGAUAGACGCUUAAAGUCUAGGCAUUUAUCUGCCAUUUUAAA